ACGGGUGUUUCAAAUGAAUUAUUCUUGGACAUUUAGUUUGCGCAGAGAAAUUUUGAAAUUUUAUGGUUGCCAUGGUGACAUUGUGCAUAACAACCUUCUAAAUUGAUUUUUUACUGUCUUGUGGUGGAGCUACAGGGUCAAAGCGGAGUCUAUUUGUUUUAGCAAAACCAGAGCUUCAAGUAGCUCUUUGUUCCAUGUUACUACGACUUUCUGGUCAAAAGUUAUGGAUCAUAAAGGGUGGAACUUACACAUGAGUCUUUUAGCUAACUGAAGGUUUUCUCUGAAACUGUUGCUGUACUGCCACGUUUUUGUCUGUUACCAUACCAGAGCAAACAGUAUAAUGGUAUGGGGCCACCUGGAGCUAAAGGUAUUUUAUGGACAUGUACUUAAGAGAGGGGCUUUUGCCUUUCUUUUCUUUAAUUCAGAGUAAAGAGUGACAUUAAGAGGUUGAAUGGUGAGGUUUACUUAUUUGAAAGUAAAGAAAUCUGGGCUG